rnacentral:rRNA from 1 species
UGGGGAAUAUUGCGCAAUGGGCGAAAGCCUGACGCAGCGACGCCGCGUGAGGGAUGAAGGUUUUCGGAUCGUAAACCUCUGUCAGAAGGGAAGAAACCGCACUGUGCUAAUCAGCAGUGCCUUGACGGUACCUUCAAAGGAAGCACCGGCUAACUCCGUGCCAGCAGCCGCGGUAAUACGGAGGGUUCAAGCGUUAAUCGGAAUUACUGGGCGUAAAGCGCACGUAGGCUGCUUUGUAAGUCAGGGGUGAAAUCCCACGGCUCAACCGUGGAACUGCCUUUGAUACUGCUUAGCUUGAAUCCGGGAGAGGGUGGCGGAAUUCCAGGUGUAGGAGUGAAAUCCGUAGAUAGCUGGAGGAACAUCAGUGGCGAAGGCGGCCACCUGGACCGGUAUUGACGCUGAGGUGCGAAAGCGUGGGGAGCAAACAGG